GACGUAGGGCGCGAGCGUUGUCCGGAUUUAUUGGGCGUAAAGAGCUCGUAGGCGGCUUGUCGCGUCGACUGUGAAAGUCCCGCGGCCUCAACCGCGGGGUCUGCAGUCGGAUACGGGCAGGCUAGAGUUCGGUAGGGGAGACUGGAAUUCCUGGUGUAGCGGUGAAAUGCGCAGAUAUCAGGAGGAACACCGGUGGCGAAGGCGGGUCUCUGGGCAGUAACUGACGCUGAGGAGCGAAAGCGUGGGUAGCAAACAGG
rnacentral:rRNA from 1 species